GCCUUCCUCUCUCUGUCUCUGCCACAUGAGGACAAAGAGAAAGUGGUCACCCUUAAGCCAGGAAGAUAGUUCUCAUCAGAACUCAAUCAUUCCAGCACAAUGAUCUUGGACUUCGCCUACAGAACUAGGAAAAGCCAUUUGAGGACAAAGCCAUCUAUAAACAAGGAAGAGAGCCCUUAUCAGGAACCUAAAUGACCAGCACUUUGAUCUGGGACUUCCAGCCUCCAGAACAGUGAGAAAAUAGACUUUUGUUGUUGAAGCCCC